UACGGGGGGAGCAAGCGUUGUUCGGAUUUACUGGGCGUAAAGGGCGCGUAGGCGGCCACCGCAAGUCGACUGUGAAAUCUCCGGGCUUAACCCGGAAAGGUCAGCCGAUACUGCGGGGCUAGAGUGCAGAAGGGGCAACUGGAAUUCUCGGUGUAGCGGUGAAAUGCGCAGAUAUCAGGAGGAACACCAGCGGCGAAGGCGGCGCUCUGGGCUGGAACUGACGCUGAGGAGCGAAAGCGUGGGGAGCAAACAGG
rnacentral:rRNA from 1 species